GACGAGGGGUCCUAGCGUUGUUCGGAAUCACUGGGCGUAAAGCGUAUGUAGGCGGCUUGACAAGUCGGGUGUGAAAUCCCAUGGCUCAACCAUGGAACUGCACUCGAAACUGUCGAGCUUGAGUAUUGGAGAGGAUGACAGAAUUCCUGGUGUAGUGGUGAAAUACGUAGAUAUCAGGAGGAACACCAAUGGCGAAGGCAGCUCUCUGGUACGUGACUGACGCUGAGACGCGAAAGCGUGGGGAGCGAACAGG
rnacentral:rRNA from 1 species